GACGAACGCUGGCGGCGUGCUUAACACAUGCAAGUCGAACGGACAGGCCCGGCUUUUGUGGGUUGCUCGAGUGGCGAACGGGUGUGUAACACGUGAGUAACCUGCCCUUGACUUUGGGAGAACUUCAGGAAACUGGGGCUAAUACCGGAUAGGAUCUCCUGCUGCAUGGUGGGGGUUGGAAAGUUUCGGCGGUGGGGGAUGGACUCGCGGCUUAUCAGCUUGUUGGGGAGGUAGUGGCUUACCAAGCCUUUGACGGGUAGCCUGCCUGAGAGGGUGACCGGGCACAUGGGGACUACGAUACGGACCAGAAGCGUACGGGAGGCAGUAGUCGGGAACAUUGCACAAUGGGCGGACGUGAGAUGUAGAGACGCUGCGUGCGUGAAGCCGGGUUACGAGUUGAAAACCGCUUUCGAAUGUGACGAAGCGGGAGUGACGGUAAUGGGUAAAGAAGCACCGGCUAACUACGUG
rnacentral:rRNA from 1 species